rnacentral:lncRNA from 1 species
AAAAAACUGCUGGAGGAUUGUAUCCUGCUGAACCAACACCUGGAGGGCUUGAGAGUCCUCUGCGAGGAAGAAGAAGAAGAAGAGACCAGUGACCUACAACAGGAGCUCAAGAGAUUAGAGAAAACACUUGAGUUCCUGAUGAAGCAGAAAGAGACUGUCAUCCAGGAAAUUGACUUGGCAGAAAAGCUGCAGCAUCACCUGGAGGUCUCCCAGAUGAGGUCCACAACCAUUCAGACUGAGCUGGAACAGACCACAUCCCAGGAUUAGAGCCACUUGACAAAGGAGCUGCUGCAGCAAGAGCCACCUGCUGAGUCACAUCCCUGGAAAGAUUGAAUUCUCCCUCAGCCUUGAGGGAGAAUAUGACAGAUAAAGCCCAAUAGAGGAAAGGCAAUAGUCAUCUUGAAAGAGUGUCACAUCUGUAGACUCCCUUGCUCCUGUGAAUGCAAGGCCAG